rnacentral:rRNA from 1 species
AGUGAACGCUGGCGGCAGGCCUAAUACAUGCAAGUCGAACGGCAGCACAGCAGAGCUUGCUCUGUGGGUGGCGAGUGGCGGACGGGUGAGGAAUACGUGGGAAUCUGCCCAGUCGUGGGGGAUAACGUAGGGAAACUUACGCUAAUACCGCAUGCGCCCUUUGGGGGAAAGCCGGGGAUCUUCGGACCUGGCGCGAUUGGAUGAGCCCACGUCGGAUUAGCUAGUUGGAGGGGUAAAGGCCCACCAAGGCGACGAUCCGUAGCUGGUCUGAGAGGAUGAUCAGCCACACUGGAACUGAGACACGGUCCAGACUCCUACGGGAGGCAGCAGUAGGGAAUAUUGGACAAUGGGCGCAAGCCCGAUCCAGCCAUGCCGCGUGAGUGAAGAAGGCCCUCGGGUUGUAAAGCUCUUUUGUUGGGGAAGAAAAGCCUUGGGUUAAUACCCUGAGGUUCUGACGGUACCCAAAGAAUAAGCACCGGCUAACUUCGUGCCAGCCGCCGCCGUAAUAC